AAGCAGACUUUGAGAAAAAAAAGAGGACUAAAACAAAGAUCAACAUCUUUCGAGAUGCCCGAGAGCUCCACGGCCGCGAAUAACUUCGACUUGACAGAGACGUCCCCAGAACGUCUUUCCAAACAUCUGCGUGUAGGGUCCGCUUGAUGUCCCGCAGACCUUCGCGAAGACAUCUUCCGGACGUUCAAGAGAACGUUCCCAGGACCACCAUGGAUCAUUAUGAGGGAUUCUAAGCGCACCACAGGAGAAGCUCAGAGUGAUGCUACAGACGAUUUGCUGACCUCAUGUGUAAGUGCUGAAGAAUAGGCCCGUGUUGAAGACCUUGCCCACGGUGCUUUCCUGGAUUUAUGCUCGACUUGGUGGAAUGACUCCGUCUCCCGGGUGCCAGCAGGGUUGAAAUAGAGGCUGUGAUGAAGUAGGGUAAAGGACAAACUCACUUGAUUUUAAUAAGGUGUUGUCACUGCAAAUAAGUUGGCCCUGUAUCAGCCGGGCCGAGGGAGCUGGAUUCUUUCCAGCUACUUUAAAUACAGCUGUUCUGCCAGAGUCAGAUACACUCGCUGUAUCAAGGUUACAAAAGUUCCCGGCUUAUCCAUAAUAGUGAGCGCAGUGUCUCUCUCACUUCAUCCGAGCUCUCUACCGCUCUCAUCCGUACCCUUAGCGGUGCUGUUGAUAAAAAGUAAUCAGAAUGGUGUCUGAAAGAGACAUGUUGCAAGGAAGAUAAGUCAGUCACAUUGGGUAUGUUCCAGUCACCCUGUACUUCACAGGUUUUUGGCCAUCAUAAUUCCUUAUAAUAGGGAGCAUGAAUCCUCAGUUCAAAGGGUUGACAUGUACUAUAUAUAUAUACAGUAUAUACUGUAUAUA